CUGGCAACAGCUGAAGCAUGCGCAGAGUACCUCCACUAUUUCAUGGGAACGGAAAUAAAGAUGUAUAAAAAGGAACUGUUUGAACUGCUCAGCACGGCAGUUGGCGGAGUACAGACUCCCCUGUCGUCCAGCGCUGUCUUUGCUUAUAUUCUACUUGCUAUAAUUAAUAAAAUUUUAAUUGGAUAAUGAUCCGUUGUGGUCUCAAUUUAUAACAAUUUUCUGGUGCCGUGACUCGGAUAAGGAACGGUGGGCUUUGGUCCUCUGGGGAGGCGCCCCGCGACAUUUCGCGGCCCCGCGACCAACAGCUCACCCCAACCUUACCGACGAACCUAAAUUCUAGAAUAAUAAGCAAAGGAGAAACCGGUAAAAUCCCAUAAAAAUUCUGUGCACGGGAGUCCGGACGAAGACGCAGGAUGCUUAAAGCUGCAAAGUGGGAAGCCUAUGUGAAUAGGCAGAAAGCCAGAAACAGCUGUCCUCCUGAAGAAUUCCCUUGCUGCCGAGAAGAUGGUACACCCCGUGGCUCGAAGCAACCGAGUCGACGGGCGAGGCAGAAGAGGAACAAACUGUGGAGAAAAGAACCAGAACAAUGGGACGCAAAAGCAGCAAUGGCUGAACUUCCCCAGGACUGGUAAAAAUAUACUUAAAUUGACAAAAUUGACAAACACCCUUUUUCCUGGUAUACC